UACGCAGACCUCAAGUGUUAUCCGGAUUUAUUGGGCGUAAAGCGCGCGCAGGCGGCCUCUUAAGUCUGAUGUGAAAGCCCCCGGCUCAACCGGGGAGGGCCAUUGGAAACUGGAGGACUUGAGUGCAGAAGAGGAAAGUGGAAUUCCAUGUGUAGCGGUGAAAUGCGUAGAGAUGUGGAGGAACACCAGUGGCGAAGGCGACUUUCUGGUCUGUAACUGACGCUGAGGCGCGAAAGCGUGGGGAGCAAACAGG
rnacentral:misc_RNA from 1 species